AACGAACGCUGGCGGCAUGCCUAACACAUGCAAGUCGAACGAGACCUUCGGGUCUAGUGGCGCACGGGUGCGUAACGCGUGGGAACCUGCCCUUAGGUUCGGAAUAACUCCCCGAAAGGGGUGCUAAUACCGGAUAAUGUCUUAGGACCAAAGAUUUAUCGCCUUUGGAUGGGCCCGCGUUGGAUUAGCUAGUUGGUAGGGUAAAAGCCUACCAAGGCGACGAUCCAUAGCUGGUCUGAGAGGAUGAUCAGCCACACUGGGACUGAGACACGGCCCAGACUCCGGCGGGAGGCAGCAGUGGGGAAUAUUGGACAAUGGGCGAAAGCCUGAUCCAGCAAUGCCGCGUGAGUGAUGAAGGCCUUAGGGUUGUGAAGCUCUUUUACCCGAGAUGAUAAUGACAGUACCGGGUGAAUAAGCUCCGGCUAACUCCGUG
rnacentral:rRNA from 1 species